rnacentral:rRNA from 1 species
UGGCGACCGGCGCACGGGUGAGUAACACGUAUCCAACCUGCCGAUGACUCGGGGGAUAGCCUUUCGAAAGAAAGAUUAAUACCCGAUGGCAUAGUUCUUCCGCAUGGUAGAACUAUUAAAGAAUUUCGGUCAUCGAUGGGGAUGCGUUCCAUUAGGUUGUUGGCGGGGUAACGGCCCACCAAGCCUUCGAUGGAUAGGGGUUCUGAGAGGAAGGUCCCCCACAUUGGAACUGAGACACGGUCCAAACUCCUACGGGAGGCAGCAUG